rnacentral:rRNA from 1 species
UAGAGUUUGAUCAUGGCUCAGGAUGAACGCUAGCGACAGGCUUAACACAUGCAAGUCGAGGGGCAGCGGUGGUGAAGGCUUGCCUUUACCAGCCGGCGACCGGCGCACGGGUGAGUAACACGUAUGCAACCUGCCUGCCACAGCCGGAUAAUCGGGAGAAAUUCCGUCUAAUACGGCAUAAUGCACCUAUGGGACAUCCUGUUGGUGCCAAAGGUUAAUUCCGGUGGCGGAUGGGCAUGCGUCGCAUUAGUUAGUUGGCGGUGUAACGGACCACCAAGACGACGAUGCGUAGGGGUUCUGAGAGGAAGGUCCCCCACACUGGUACUGAGACACGGACCAGACUCCUACGGGAGGCAGCAGUGAGGAAUAUUGGUCAAUGGGCGGGAGCCUGAACCAGCCAAGUCGCGUGAGGGAUGACGGCCCUAUGGGUUGUAAACCUCUUUUGCCGGGGAGCAAAGUGCCGCACGUGUGCGGUUUGGAGAGUACCCGGAGAAAAAGCAUCGGCUAACUCCGUGCCAGCAGCCGCGGUAAUACGGAGGAUGCGAGCGUUAUCCGGAUUUAUUGGGUUUAAAGGGUGCGUAGGCGGACGCUUAAGUCAGCGGUAAAAUUGCGGGGCUCAACCUCGUCGAGCCGUUGAAACUGGGUGCCUUGAGUGGGCGAGAAGUACGCGGAAUGCGUGGUGUAGCGGUGAAAUGCAUAGAUAUCACGCAGAACUCCGAUUGCGAAGGCAGCGUACCGGCGCCCAACUGACGCUGAAGCACGAAGGCGUGGGUAUCGAACAGGAUUAGAUACCCUGGUAGUCCACGCAGUAAACGAUGAAUGCUAGUUGUCCGGGGCGAUUGAGUUCUGGGUGAC